GAAGAAGAUGACGUAAAAUAUGAAGAAGAAGAUGACGUAAAAUAUGAAGAAGAAGAUGACGUAACAGGUGAAGAAGAAGAUGACGUAAAAUAUGAAGAAUAUGUUGUACCAGGUUCAGAAGAAGAUGCCUUAACAGAUGGAGAAGGUGCCGAAACAGACGCACAAUACGACUCCAAAUCAUUUAUAACUUUUUUAAAUAAUUAUGAAAAAGACAAUGACAAGGAGGAAAAUGGUCGUGUUAAAAAAAAAGGUGAUAAAUAUGAGGAAGAUGAAGAAAAAGAAGAUUUAUAUGAAUAUUUACCAAUGCAUGAUAACAUUUAUAAUAUUAAAAAUUUGGAAGAAGAAAUUAAUAUUAGUGACUUCAUAAAUUUAAAUGACAAAUCACUAAAUAAUAAAGUGAAAAAAGAUUUAAUGCUGUUAAUAAAAAAAAUGAAUCUAGAAAAGUAUAAUAUUAAUAAUAAAUAUGUUUCUAUUUUGGAAGAAGAAAGAAAUAAAUCUAAAUUAGUAUAUAAUGAAAAUAUGGAAGAUAUAGAAAAAAUUGGAAAUUCGUAUAAUAAAAUUAAUAAAGCAUGGAAAGUUAUAUAUGGGUGUAAUGAAGAUAAUGAAUUAACAACUGAAGCAAUGUUAAAAAAAAAUGUUGUAAGUUUGUAUAAGCAGAUGAAAAGUGAAGAUAGUGCCAACAGUAGUAAAAACAGUUUAGGCCCUAGAUUUAAUGAUGUUGUGAUAAAAGAAGAUCCUGAAUUAAGUAAUAAGUUAUUCGAAGAGGAAUUGAAAAAAAAUAUACAAGAAGCAGAUAUGCAAAUGAUAGAGAGUGAUAUUUUAUUAAGUAACAACGCUAAAAGAAAGAAAGAAAUGAAACAAAUUAUGCAGUUAAAAAUAAUGCUAGCAAAUGAGAGGCGUAAAUCCAUGUACCGAAAAAAUAUUAAAUCAAAAACAUAUAGAAAACAUUUAAAAUUAAAGGAAAAAAAAGAAGAAAAACAACUUUUCGAAAAAUUAUAUACAGAAGCCCCAGAACUAGCUGAACAGUUACAUAAUUUUGAAGAAGAGUAUGCAAAAAAAAGAAACCUUAUAAGUAGUGUAAAAAAUAGAAAGACAUUAAAUUUGAUAAAUAAAUAUAAAAAU
rnacentral:lncRNA from 1 species